rnacentral:rRNA from 1 species
UACAGAGUGGGCAAGCGUUAUUCGGAAUUAUUGGGCGUAAAGGGCGCGUAGGCGGCUUGGCAAGUGGAUGGUGAAAUCCCUCGGCUUAACCGAGGAACUGCCGUCCAAACUGCUUCGCUUGAGACCGGGAGAGGUGAGUGGAAUUCCCAGUGUAGCGGUGAAAUGCGUAGAUAUUGGGAGGAACACCAGUGGCGAAGGCGGCUCACUGGACCGGUACUGACGCUGAGGCGCGAAAGCGUGGGGAGCAAACGGG